UCAAAUGAUGUGGAUGAUUUAGCUAAGAAUCAGGAAUAGAAAUUGUGAGCAAGGCGAAGCUGAGGAUAAGGUGUUGGGUACCUUAAGUGAAAACUACCAUUCCCCUCGAAUGGUAGGCAAUGUGUCAGAAUCAGAGCAGGGAGCGGAUAUUAGUAGACUGGAUGAGGUUGACUAGACGCCACAGACAGGACGUGGAGCUUAUAGCACCCAUAGUUAGUUUUUGGAUAGUAUUCUAACCUCAUUAGUCAAGUUACAUGAGUUACUCAACGAACUUCCUCAAUAAUGUAUUUUGGUAAUGUAAAUAUAGAGUCUGGUCUUCCAUAUUUUUGAGAUAAUAGUCUUCUAAGACUCAUAUUGAAAUCGUGGAUGUUUAUUUUAUUAAGUAUGCUUGGAUUACAAUUUAACUAUUUGGGAUAUUAUA